AGCAGAGCUAUGGAAUGGCAUGGUUGCAGAGAGAGAGAGAGAGAAAGGAGAAAGAGGAGAGAAAUACCAAGUUGUGUGACGGGGAUGAGGGAUGCUAUUUAACAAGAUCUAAUGGGAAUGUUUGCAGCUUGUCACUUUUCUGAGAGAUGCUUCUCCAAAUAGUAUCCGAAGAAUGCCGACUUCCAAGCUUCUUCCACCAUGUGAACUGCUGACUUAGAAGCCAUAAUUUCCAACUAGAAAUAUAGGUGAAAGAAUACAUGGAUGAUCGUGCCCAUCUCUCAGGACUCAAGCCCAGAAAUGAGCUCUGCUGGGAGGAGCUCUUUUAUCUCAGCUGCUUCUCUGCCAUCAAAGCCCACUCAACUUUGAGUAGCUGCCCGCCCCCUCGCCAGUCCUGUCCUCCCCAGAAUCCUGCCUGGAGGUUUUAAUUCAGAGUCUCAAAAGACAAGCAAGGGGGUUGCUUUGAUUGAUCAGUCAAACACAAUCCCUUCACAAUGGUCUUUGGAGACUCAGGCUCUAGACAUGAAAGAUAAAAACAAGAGAUGCCAGCUUGGUUUAAGAUGGAAGU
rnacentral:lncRNA from 1 species